rnacentral:lncRNA from 1 species
CUGUUCCACAAAACUUCCUGGUUCUCAUGACUUCACAAACCUCUUUGGGUGUGCUGCCAGGGUGAUGGCAGUUGUGCUUUAAUGCACUGAUCCAGACUGCUGGAGGCAGCAUUGCAAAAGAAAAAUACCACUUUCCUGCAAAGUCUGUUUUUCUCAGGAAAGGAGUGUGGAGAACAGCUAUUGGUGCUGAAGGCACCAGGGAAGUGCAGCCCUGAGAUCUCCAGCCAACAUUUCAGUGGGAGAUCUGAGCUGCUGGGUUACAACUAAGGUGUGAGGACGAGCAUGAUGCUUUGCUCUGCACAGGGGCUGCCGAUGGAUACAGAUGAGGCAUAAACUACCUGUUUUCCUUCAGGGAUAAUUCUGCCCUUCCAGAAAUGAAUUAGACACUUGCAUAAGAAAUAGCAUUUAAGAC